rnacentral:misc_RNA from 1 species
GUGAAUCAUCAAAUUUUUGAACGCAAAUUGUGCUUCCUGGCAUCCCGGGAAGUAUGCCUGUUUGAGGGUCAGUAUUAAUAAAAAAUCGGUUUAGUUACAAAUUGUGACGUUUCCGGAGUUUGGGCUAUUUUAACAAUUUUGGUUAAGAGGCUUAAAAUUGACCUUUUUUGCGCAUAUUUAAACGUAUAUAUAUUUUUUUUAUUCGUCUAUUAUUAAUGCUAAAUUAUUAUUAGAUGCGUCCAUAUUGUGUGGUUUAGUGGCUAUAAAAUUUUAAUGAUUG